UGGGGAAUAUUGCACAAUGGGCGAAAGCCUGAUGCAGCAACGCCGCGUGAGUGAUGAAGGCCUUCGGGUUGUAAAGCUCUGUCUUUUGGGACGAUAAUGACGGUACCAAAGGAGGAAGCCACGGCUAACUACGUGCCAGCAGCCGCGGUAAUACGUAGGUGGCAAGCGUUGUCCGGAUUUACUGGGCGUAAAGGAUGCGUAGGCGGAUUUUUAAGUGAGAUGUGAAAUACCCGGGCUUAACUUGGGUGCUGCGUUUCAAACUGGGAAUCUAGAGUGCGGGAGAGGAGAAUGGAAUUCCUAGUGUAGCGGUGAAAUGCGUAGAGAUUAGGAAGAACACCAGUGGCGAAGGCGAUUCUCUGGACCGUAACUGACGCUGAGGCAUGAAAGCGUGGGUAGCAAACAGGAUUAGAUACCCUGGUAGUCCACGCCGUAAACGAUGAGUACUAGGUGUAGGAGGUAUCGACCCCUUCUGUGCCGCAGUUAACACAAUAAGUACUCCGCCUGGGAAGUACGAUCGCAAGA
rnacentral:rRNA from 1 species